GCCUGAAUUCCCGGGGUCGCUGUCUAGUAUAGCACUUUAUACUGUGAAACUGCGAAUGGCUCAUUAAAUCAGUUAUCGUUUAUUUGAUAGUACCUUACUACAUGGAUACCUGUGGUAAUUCUAGAGCUAAUACAUGCUAAAAACCUCGACUUCGGAAGGGGUGUAUUUAUUAAAUAAAAAACCAAUGCCCUUCCGGGCUCCUUGGUGAUUCAUAAUAACUUAACCAAUCCCAUGGCCUUGCCCCGGCGAUGGUUCAUUCAAAUUUCUGCCCUAUCAACUUUCCAUGGUAGGAUAGUGGCCUACCAUGGUGGCAACGGGUAACGGGGAAUUAGGGUUCGAUUCCGGAAAGGGAGCCUGAAAAACGGCUACCACAUCCAAGGAAGGGAGCAGGCGCCCAAAUUACCCAAUCCCCACACGGGGAGGGAGUGACAAUAAAUACUGAUACCGGGCUCUUUUGGGUCUCGUAAUUGGAAUGAAUACAAUCUAAAUCCCUUAACGAAGAACAAUUGGAGGGCAAGUCUGGUGCCAGCAGCCCCGGUAAUUCCAGCUCCAAUAACGUAUAUUAAAGUUGUUGCAGUUAAAAAGCUCGUAAUUGAACCUUGGGUCUGGCUGGCCGGUCCGCCUCACCGCGAGUACUGGUCCGGCUGGACCUUUCCUUCUGGGGAACCUCAUGGCCUUCACUGGCUGUGGGGGGAACCAGGACUUUUACUGUGAAAAAAUUAAAGUGUUCAAAGCAGGCCUUUGCUCCAAUACAUUAACAUGGAAUAAUAAAAUAAGACGUGCGGUUCUAUUUUGUUGGUUUCUAAGACCGCCGUAAUGAUUAAUAAGGAUAGUCGGGGGCGUCAGUAUUCAGCUGUCAGAAGUGAAAUUCUUGGAUUUGCUGAAAACUAACUACUGCGAAAGCAUUCCCAAGAUGUUUUCAUUAUCAGGAACAAAGUUAGGAUCGAAAACAUCAAAUACCGUCUAUCUUACCAUAAACUAUGCCGACUAAGGAUCGGACGGGUUUCUAUGAUGACGC
rnacentral:rRNA from 1 species